GCCCCCGACGGAGGCCCCGCCCGCAGCGGAGGCCCCGCCCCACCAAGCUAGGCUGCGCCGCGCGAACCGAAUGAUGUCAUGCUCCGGAGCCGCGCGUGACCACCGCGGCCCGCCCUCGCCGCCCAUUGGCCGGCGCCCGUGGCCCGUCAGAGCAGCACCGCCCCCCAUUGGCCCGCUUCCCCGCCCCGCCGCCGCCCCGCGCCACAUAAUAAACAAUCGAGUAGAAUGCGGCGGGGGCGCCUUGGGAGCUGCGUCUUGGCUCCGAGUCCGCAGCCGUGCGGGGAGAAAAAGCUUUUCCCGAACGUGCUGUGGCGCUCGCACGGAAAAUUGCCUUCAGCCAGAGGGUACUGCUGCACCGAGGACCAAGCCGAGCCGUCUCUCGGUUUUCCCCGACCCCCUUGUCUCAAAGCUGAGUUGUGCCAGGCUGCAAGUGCCCUCCGGACUUGGGCUCCGAGGCGGUGCAGAUCUGUGUGUGGUGUGAGGGAAGGGUCUGGGUGGGAACGCGUCUGGCAGCCAGGUGUGCAAAUCCAGUGUGCCAAGUGCCCAGCGAUAGGGCAGCGAUAGGGGGACCUGGAUGCUACACCUCUGAAACUGUGUCAGUGUUGGUUGUCUUCAGGGGACAAAAAAUGUCCCAGAGGUGGCUCUCCUGUCCACAUGAUGCUGUGCAGAGAGAUGCAGCCUCAAUCCUUGCUUCGAUGUAGUGGUUCUCACACAGCACAGCCCUAAAAUAACCACCUUUCACAGCCCUGCUUCCCUCUACCUGCGAACACGAGUCACACUUGUACAGCAGAGGAUUUAAUCGGGGAUCAAGUGAUGAGAAUCAGGGCUGCGGGAAAGGAUUUACCUUUGCUGAGGCUGGCAGCCUGGCCUCUCCUUUGGCGAGCAGGUACCCACAUACGGCCUAUUUCACUUCCUUCAAAGAAUUAAUUAUUUUUCUCCUCUACCUGGCCCCUGGAGGAAGAAGUCUAAGCACCUCCCUCACACUGUCAUCCUCUAUUUCCAGCACUUGUUCUGGAGGUGUGGGUCCUGGUCCUUUUCCCAGAACUUUGUGUUUUGUUCUCUGACAGAUGUUCAAUGUAAAGUACAUAGACACACUUUGAAAAGGGACUGUUCCCCUCCCUUCCCCAUGGCAAUGUUAUUAUUGCUAGGUCAUGGCCUCUCCUUGAUUGCACCCGUGAAUCCUGAAUCCCCACCCUCUCCCCCAGGCAGCAGUACGAGUUCAACAGGCUGGUUGAAAAUGGAGUGCGUGUUAGGCUAGCCUACCUCCCUGGUAAGAUAUUCUUCUGGAAGGUCAGAGGGAGGCAUCUGAACCCUAUCAGGCAGAACGAGGAGAAGCUGACCUUGUGUCUCCUGGUGUGGGGGGCCCUGUAAGGCACACAGGGGGAAGUCCGUCCCCCCGCAGGAAUUCAGAAAGGGUUCAAAGGGGCUGGUGAAGUGUUAAGCAAAAGCAGUCAGCGGCUUAGCACGUGGUGGGGAAGUCGAUUAUAAGCACUUGCAGCUGGUUCUCUCUCUCACACCCUGGAGGAACUGGGUGACUGCUGACUCAGGAGCUGCAUCAAGUCAGAGGAAUGGGAGGGCGGUCAUAUUUCUUGAGUGCCUGUGACACACUGCAAAACGAUGGGAUAGCAAUGGGCACCUCCUACUUGCUGUCCCGUCUUGGAAGAGUGAUCACAGCAGCGUGCUGUGAGAAGCUGGAGCCCAUUGGUAUGUGCUGGAUGUGCUCUGGAAAGGCUGUGCAGCCGAGGCCAUGGGUCUCAUCUUGCAUGGAAACGUGUCUGAGCUCUGAAUUCCAGCAUUGAGCCAGGGGGAAAGACAGGCACAAGAGCUGCCCAACGUGGGGUGGUUCUGGGUAUGUGAAAGGCAGAAUGUCCUGUAUCUUGGGAUCCCGACAACCUAAAAAUAGUACUCUAGAGCCUCCAGGAUUAGGCAUCAGUUGAGCAGAGGCUGUUGGGAGGGCAGUUCUGAACUUUAAUGCCUCAGUUCUGCCCUAGCCCUGCUUCUGGUAUUAAAGAUGUUACAUUCCUUGCUGCUCAUGUGAAUGUGACUUAAACAUGCUCAGGGCAGGCAGUUAUAGCAAACUGCCCUGCAAACUCCUCCUGGAAUCUGAAAAGUUGAAUUCUUCCAUUCAUGCGCACCCUUGCCUGGCUUGCAAAAUCAUUCCCUUCAGUCUAGCAAACUGCUCUGUUAAAGCUGUGCAUCUGGAGUCGUUCACUGCCAGUUUACCUGUGGAGAGGCAAUAAUACCAAGACCGAAACCUGAUUUUAUUUUUUUAUUUAUUUUUUGGGGAUACCAUUUAGUGAGAACAUGUAAUUGAAUACAUGCUGAGAACUGAUCUGCUGAAGAGCCUGCUGUUUCUAAACACAGUAGCAACUCUUCAUAAUAGGCAUGUUUAGCUUAAAAUAUAUCAAGGUAGAGGUAUUAUAAGCCUUGUUUAACCCAAACAGAUUUUUUCCUUGGAAGCAAACAGGGAAAACUGGGGAGAAACUGUCACGGAAGUCUGACAGAUGUUCAAGUAUGUGAAGCUUAAAGAGGAACGUGUGCUAUUCAGUUUGCUCACAGAUGCUUUGUGACCUGUGUCUUUGCAGUAAUGAUGACACAAGCUUUUUUGAAUAAAAGGAAGAAAUUAACUGCCUUGGCUAAUUGUACUCUUGCUAGCGAGCUAACCAAGGACACCAUUUGACUGUGAAAAUUGUUGGUGCACCCAAAUCCCUCAGCUGGGGAGAAUAUCUGGGGUGUUCCCAAAUCUGUGGAUCAGAAGGGCUAUUUAAAAAUCUUCCUAAUUGGAAAAUUAACCACUAUUACUUUAAAACAGUGGUGCACUGCUUUGAAAAAUUAAGACCAUAUGGAAUCAUUUAUUACUUUUCAAUAUGUAUUUAGUCUCUGUACAAUUUUAUGUACUUGCUAAUGCAUAAAGUCUUUUGGAGCAGGAAUAAAGCACCACAAAGCAUGAUUUAAUGCUAUAGGGUCACCAAAUCUGUUUCAGAUUACUGGAUGUUUCAAUCUGCUGAAAAGAAGGGGCUGUCCCUGAACCAAUGAAACAAUAAGAAGGAAGGGAGGUGAGCUCAUAAAUCUGGAACACUUUGAAAUAUAGUGCACAUAUCAACAAAAACUUUUAAAGGAUUCAUGGGGAUUUGGUCACAUAAGAGAUAAAAUUAUGAAACAUUAUAUGAAGUAACAGGAAAGUUAAAACAAAGUCAGUAUUAAUAGUAUAAUACUUGGUUGCAAUUUAAGGCAUCUUAAUGAAUCUGAACAGUACAGGCCCACAUAAGCAUGUGACUGUAAGAGAAAAUAGGAGCAAAUAAUCUGGGAGUGCACAAAAGUGCUUUUGUUUGUAGUUCUGCAGUCACUGGACGUGCCUGUUCUAUUGGUUAUUCACAAACACCUCUGGCUCUUUCUUCCAGAAAUCCUAUCCAAACGUUUUUGUUCUGACUUAGAGGAGGACUUUGUGCUUUGGCUCUUUUUGUGCGGUUCAGUCUUGCGGCGGCAUCCUUCCUCUGGCAAGGGCCUGAAAUGGGUCUGAUGCUGCCUUUUUUUUUUUUUUUUUUUUUUUUGCAGAGUGACAAGCUGUGGGGCAAUCUUUGCUCUCAGGGCCUGGGCACUUUCCUUUCACUGGUUCAGCAGAGAUCAACAAGAAGAGGCUAAGUCUGAGAAGUUAACCAUGCAUGGUUCAAGCCACCUGGCAAUGAGCUCUGCAGGCAUAGGAGGCAACCUUUCUGCCUUUAUUGUGAACCUGAGAGCAGUAUAACCAUCUGGCUGGUUAUAAUUUAACAGAAACCCCAUUUUUUAUCUUGCUAUGGUGGUGUGCUUUCUUUUAAAUGUCAUCUGUAGAGUUUCCCAGGGAGUGGAGAAGUUUUGCUUUGUAUUUCUUACAGAUACUGACAAAAACUAGUCCACUGGAUUACCAUAAACCUAGCCAUAUUCUUUCUUAGAGGCAUGAGCAAGCUGAAAAGAGUUUGCAGUAACUUUUAUACUUCAAUCAAAAUAUUUUUCAGUAUAUAUUUGUCAUUUUUAACCAGUAGACUAAUUGACUGGUUAUUUUAUUAAUGUUGAAAUCUUACGAUUUUAGAGGAGUUAUUAAGCAAGUAAAUUAAUCUUCAGCUUUCCUGUGGCACUGAAGCUUGUUCAUCACUGUUGUGCUUUCCACCAUUCUUUAAACCCUUGGUAAUCGAUAGUGGUAAUUUCAAAUAAGUUCAGAUCUUUUGUUCCAAGUAAACUGAGCAUGCAUGCAUCUUCUGAAUCAGCACCUUAACGUGACCUCUCCUGUCUGCUCAAAUUAUUAAAAUCAAAAUAAAGUUCUUCAGACAAAAUGAAGCCAGUUGAAUGAAUACAUAAUAAGGAUUAAAACAAAUACCGUGAGGAGUAAUUGCUGUCUCCGAUUAACUUUCAUCCAGUCCAUAUAUCUUAGCCAUUGGAAAAUCUUAAAUAAAAUCUUCUUUAAAGUCCUUUCAAACUUUUUUGAGAGUAGUUGUCAGUUUAGGCAUGUAUCCCAACUUUAACUUGUACGUAUGGUAAAAAUAUUAUUUGCCCAUAGAUGGCAAUAGCAUUACAUUGCUGAAUUAGCCCUCAGCCUAUGAAAUGAGGGUGUGAUGGUGGUGAACAUUAACCUUGGGAAUGGAAAAAAAAUAUCUUGCCUUUUCUUUUUCUUCUUUUUUUUUUUUCUUUCUUGUCUGCAGCAGUGGUAAUGGGGACUGUUCUAUUUGCAGGAAUGUUGGGACUAAUCAUGUGAGAAAAGAUCCUGGAGUGAUGAGGCAGCAUAUUUCCCAUGUCUGAGGUCAGGAUUUGUUCUGUGAAGCUGACCUUUAAAACAGCCUGAAAAUGAGGAACGUGGCACCAGAGAGCAGAGCAGGAAGCAUGAAAUGAUGGUAGGAGAAAGCCGGAGGCACCGUCCUGGAACAGGCAGUCCCUUUUAUCACUGGGAAAUGGCGGACCACAGAGCGAGUGGAUGUGUUUCCAGAGCCACAGCAGGUGCAACUCUUGGGGCAGGGAGCUCUCCGGGUGAGUCCUUCCAUUAUCCUAAGAACAAGUAUCCCCACAAGUCCUUGCCAAUCUAGGACUUUAUAGCCUCAGCCUGCUAAUUUUUUACCACUGGAGAGGCCAGUGUGUGCACGCUUUGGAGAAGACAAGCAAAGAAUGAGGGAAUGCAUUUUGACUGGAAGUGGCCACCAAAUUGCAGAAACAAUGAGCGUGGUUGAUGAGAAAUUGCCUGCUUGGCACAACCACAACACCUUAGUGAAGAGAGUGAUGCAAGUGCUUGAACCACUGGCAUAGCAGAGGCUGAGGAAAAAAUGUUCUCUUCCCUGAGAAAAGAGGAGAAAUCCCAACACAUGGUGGAGCCAGAUGAUGGCGUAUGAUGCACCCAAGUACAAAAGUAUUCCUACAAAACAGGAUUAGGGACUAGCUUUGCCUUAUAAGUCAGCCUUUCAUGCUAAUUUACUUUUUAUUCUGCUUUAGCCUGGGCUCUCCAUUUUGCUUGGAUUAUGGAACAGUGGUGCCUGAAGUCACUUAAAAUACAGCAUUGAACUUGUCUGUUGCCACCGAUGGUAAAUGCACUAAAGUUAAAGGAGAGGAAGCCACGAAUCCUGACAGCGUGUCUAGCCUCUCCCUUCCUCAGGAGUAUCUCAACCCAAGUGAAACAGUAAAGUCUCCCCAGGACCUGUGACACAACAUCAGGGGGGCUUUGUGCAUCCCCCUUGCAUGACUGUGGGAAAGCUGGGAAGUAAAGGUAAUAAGAAGAUAGGAGCUUCUGUCUGUUUUAAGCUAAGAAAUGGGAAGCUAUUCUGAAAUACAUUUUCCCCUGCUUUUACCAUCUGCUUACUGUGUUAUAUGCAAGCAAAAAAUUCAAUCAUCUUUCUGUUUAAAAGACAGGAGGCACUAAAGCCCAAUUCCUCCAUUGUAGGGACCCACCUUCUACUCUAACCAGUUACCCAAGUACAUCGAAGGAUUUUGACCCAAGGGCCGAGGCUUCUGAAGUUCAUUUUUCACAUGGGACAUAGGCAGGAGCUUGUGGCAUUAACAGCUCAAUGGCUUCAGCUCUAAAUGAGCUGGCAAAGGUGUUCUCAGCCCAGAAACUUUUUCUAUUUUUUUUUCCAGCUGUAGCAGUUGAUCAGAGAAGCAGGUCAUAGAAUCAUAGAAUGGAAGGGACCCACAAGGAUCAUCCAAUUCCAACUCUUGGCCCUGCAUAGGACUUCCCCAAGGAUCACAUCAUGUGCCUGAGAGCAUUGUCCAAAUGCUUCUUGAACUAAGAAAGGCUUGGUGCUGUGACCACUGCCCUGGGGAGCCUGUUCCAGCGCCCAGCCACCCUCUGGGUGAAGAACCUUUUUCUAAUAUACAGCCUAAACCUCCCCUGACACAACUUCAGGCCAUUCCCUUGUGUCCUGUCACUGGUCACCACAGAGAUCAGUGCCUGCCUCUCCUCUUCCUGUCACGAGGAAGUUGUAGACUGCAAUGAGUUCUCCCCUCAGUCUCCUCUUCUCCAGACUGAACAGACCAAGUGACCUCAGACACUCCUCACAUGGCUUCCCCUCAAGGCCCUUCAUCAUCCUCAUUGCCUUCCUUUGGAUGCUCUCUAAUAACUUUCUAACUCUUUUAUGUUGUGGUGCCCAAAACAGUACACAAUAUUCAAGGUGAGGCUGCACCAGUGCAGAGCAGAGCAGGACAAUCCCUUCCCUGAUGCAAAGGACAUGGUUGUCCUUCCUGGCUGCCAGGGCACUGCUGACUCAUAUCCAACUUGCCGUCAACCAGGACCCCCAGGUCCUUUUCCAUGGCACUGCUUUCCAGCCUCUCAUUCCCCAGUCUGUACGAACAUCCAGGGUUGCCCCAUCCCAGAUGUAGAAUCUGGCACUUUCCCUUGUUGAACUUCAUAGGUUGGCGAUUGUCCAGUCUUCGAAUUUGUUGAGGUGUCUCUGCAGGGCCUCCCUGCCUUCCAGGGAAUCAACAGGUCCUCCCUAUUUAGUAUCCUCAGCAAACUUGCUUCGUAUCCCUUUGAGUCCUGCUUCCAAGUCAUUUAUGAAGAUGUUGAAGAGCACAGAGCCUAAAUGUGGAGCUCUGGGGAAUCCCACCAGUGACAGGUCACCAGUCUGAUGUUACCCCAUUCACUAUCAUCCUCUGUGCUCGACCCGUGAGCCAAUUGCUCACCCACCACAUGAUAUGUUUAUCCAGCUGUGUGCUGGAUAAACAUUUUGUCUGGAAGGAUUCUGUGAGAGGCAGUAUUGAAAGCUUUGCUGAAGUCUGAAAAGAUGACAUUAGCUGGCUUCCCUUGGUCAACUAGGUGGGUUACCUUGUAAAAAGAAGUUUGGCAAGCAGGACUUUCCCCUCAUGAAGCCAUGCCGGCUGUGACCAGUGAGCUGGUGCUUUACCAGUUGGUCGUGCUUUCCUUGCAAACCUUAUCUUCCACACCAAGUCAUUUAUGACACUUAGCCUAUGAUUCAUCAUCGUUGCCUUGUUUUGUAAAACUAAGUUAAAUAAACCCUGGACCAAGCAGAGAAAAACUGCAGGGCUGCCUGGAUACUACACUGUAGAAGUGGAUGGUUAAACAGGAGGCAGAUGUCUGUUGAGCCUGUGAGUUUCACAGAAGGAGGAGCUGAGGUGGAGGAGUGGGGCUGGGGGCAGAGGAAUGGAGGGUACCCAAGCACUGUACAGUCAACCAAAGUCAAGCAAAGGAAUGGCAGGCAGUCCCUGUUCAGAGAGGGGACACUAGUUCUCAGACUGAACAGGAAAAGGCAAUCUGGCAAGGACAAGGACACGGCUUUGUAAUGGUACAGGGGACCCCUGGAAAGACCGUGAAAUGAGAACAAUCAAUUAACAAGCUGCUGUGGCUUCAGAAAAGCAAUUAUAGACAUACUGAUGUAAUGAGCACAUCUGAUGCACAGAAGCUAUUUAACCUUCAUCCUUGUGCCUUAUAAAGCACCUCUGGGGCACUGGGUAAGGCUGUUAAUUAUUAAGGUCAACCUUAGCAGACAGAGGUGUCCUCAAGUAUGGGUUGCUGUGAUACACUCAGAUAAUUUCUCCAUUAUGUCAAUAACUAAUUUCCUGAAUUGUUCAAGAAUUGAAAGAUUAGCAUCCAUUAACCAAGCCUUAACUCAUGGCUAUGGGAGCAGUUACAGACCACAAGGACUUCAAAACCCCUUCAUAGCUCCUUGAGUACAUAUAAUAUACAUACACACAUAUACAUACACACUACUCCACCAGCUUGUUUACACACUACUGCACCAGCUUGGCAAAAUAAAUAACCAGUGCAUAUAAAAAGCCUGGGCAGGCAGUGACAGGCAUUGGCUUGAGCAGAUGUCUUGAUGUUUGAGCAUUGUCUUCAGGUGCUCUGAGAGAAGAGGAUGAAGUCACUCUGACUUUUAAAGAACUGUCUACUGAGGGAUUUUAAAUGAACAGAAUCACAAUCAGACCAAAAUACCAAUUCUAUUUACUACCAAAAGGGCAUUUUUUAAUGAAAAAAAAAUUUAAAAAUUUCAUACAGCAGACAUUUCAUGGAUUUGAUAAACUGUGACUUAUUACAUCGUUCACCCUUAUGCUGCAAGACAAAUCUCAUUGCUUUUAUUUAUGCAGGCCAUAUAAUUUUUUGUACCUUAAUGCAAACAUUUUUUUCCAAGCACAGCCUCUGAAGAACCACUAUAUUUGGAAACUGCAAUAUAGGUUGGUAGGAAAUUCCACUGGUUUUACUGUUUUGCCUUAAAGCCAAGCACGACUGGAAAAGCAGCUAUCCUAAGCGGAAGCUGCCUGAGCUGGCACACCAAUUGCACUCAACUUUUGGAGAAGGGAAAUGGCUGUGUUACUGUGUCACAGCAUUAUACGUGUCUGAGCUUACCUGCCUGAGACUUUGCUGGCUGACUGCCUGGAGUUAAAUCAAAGGAGGCUGAGGAGAGACAGGAGAGAGGAGGAAAUGAAACAAUGACAGUGAUAAAGCCUAAUAAUACCAAUGGUCCUUCAGAGGAUCAGUGGGGAGCGAGGCACUGGAAUAAGUGCUGCCAGCCUGCUGCCAGAAGGGUGAGAAGCUGUUUUACCAAGGCCAGCAAUGAACACGAAAAGAUAAUAAACCCUCCCCCAGCACAGACGAAAGGACAGGGGAGUGGAGGUAGGGAAAGGAGGUGAGAGCAACCCUUUAAGGAGAAACACUACCGGAGUUGCAGCUGCACCUGGGUGUGCAGCCAAAGCUGGGGACCGAUGGGCUGUGGGAUGGGAUUUCAAGGGCUUGUCUAGGCUGCUGGAGAGGUGAAGAAGAAGAAGAAGCACCAACACCUUAGCCCUGUCUCCUGCCCUCCCUGGCGGGCUUUUGGGUGUACUGCCAGGUCUUCUGCCCCAAAGGGACAGUUUCAUCUGUCCAUCGCAGGCUGUUGAGAGGGGAAAAGGUUGACAGUCAGUGUUCAAAGACAGUAGUCCUGUUUAUGUGCCAACACAGUGAGUAGGGUGGGGGAGACAAAAUGGGGGUGCCAGCCCAGUCAGAGGGAGCUGAAUGUGGCAGCAGCCCACAUCUGGGCUUGUGCCCUGGGAGAAAUGGCAAAGCUCGAGUGGGGAGGGACGCUUCUCCCUCACCUGGAAUGAUGUCUGGCUUUUUCUUCCUCCCACAGACAUCCUUUCUUAGACCGGUUGUUACCACCUAUCCCCACAAACUUCAUCUCACCUGUGUCCUUAGACUGCCAUGGCUGCAGCGUCACUGCUGCAGCCUCACUGAGGUACCUGCGAGCUGGGGGCAAGCGGCUGUGGGAGAGGCCAUGGGGGGAGAACAAGCCCAGGUGCACCACACACUGGAGCCGUCUGCCCACUGAAACUGGCCAGGCGGCUGUGACUGAAAUCUAAUUUUCCUGGUGCAUUCCAUGGACAUUUUAAUCAGCGUUUUCUACAAUCUACUUGGCAAAGAGGCUCAGUUGGCAGCUGCCUGACUGAAUGGGCUUUGCACCCAGUCUAACCUUCUCCAUUCGCAAUUUCCAGUGCUGGAAAACCUCUCUGUCUCACUCUCAGAAGUUUCUAUAGCAAUCAUGGCCAUCCCAGCAAAGCACUGAAAAUGGCAGCCCAUUCAGAUUGUAAUUUUGCUGGACAGUAGUUGCUCCUCUCUCCCCUGGCCUCUGAAAUGUUACUUUUUGGGAGGUAUGAACUGCAACUGGAUGAUACUGGUCCUCUGCCUAUGUUUUCAGCGAACUUCACUCCCCCUGCCCCCCAAGGAACUUUGUUAGGUGUUUGCAGCACAUUUUAACCUCAGUUAACAGGGGAGCAUUGUUGGGCACAUCAUACCUCAGCUACAAGAAAGACCUGAUGUGAGCGAUGCUCUUAACAAGCCUGCAGGAACAAACUUCACCACCCAACGUGUCAUAUUAUGACCUGAACAUUAUCCAUCACUGUAGGUAGAAGAAGUUACACAAGUGUGUUUGGCUUUGCAAAUUGUAGAAGACCGGAGGACUCAAGGCUUUUUUCAUCAUGUCAGUGAGCUUACUUUCCCUGGUUCAGUUGACUUCAGCUUAAAAAAAUCACUCAAUCUUUUCAUACUUCGUCUUUCAGUGGCUGUGAUUGCGCUUAAUUACUGUGACGCCAAAGAACCACGUGUUAAAAAUAUGUUAAGCAACAGAACUAAAGGUUUUGCUUCUUGCAAUAAGAGGAUGUGGUAGAAUUAUACCACAGCUUGUGAAGGAAUCAAUUAACCAUUUCUUAAGCUCUUCUAAUAAUCUUUCCCUAUACUUUUUUGGCUAUUGUUGCCUGCUAAAAAAAAUUAGCUUACAGCUGAGUAAGGGGAAUUGUGGAUAAGUGUUUGCAAUUUGGCUUUGGACUGACACAGUGUGGAUUGCACUCAGAGAAUUUGAAGUCUUUGCACUGGCAGCAGUACUCGAAUCUGGGAAUAUAGGAUUCGCAUUGGAAGAGUGGAUUUUUAUAACGAUUUAAAUGAACAAUUUCAGCUAGAGAGUGGAUUAACAGAGCCAACUAAACCCUUCACCCUGACAAAGAACUGGCGGGAGGACUAUAGAAACAUAUCCAAAAUUUUAGCACCAUGAAUGCAGAGUAAUAGGUCAGUGAGAAGCAUUUCUGUAAUUUAAUAGCUCUCUUAGAAUUCAAUUCAAUUUAAAACAAAAGUUGUUUUACAAAUACAUGGAGAAUGCAGAAGGCUGGAGAGGGAGUAAGUGGCCUGCAUCCUCCAUCUGCUCCAUCCUCCCUCUACUCUCGCUCUAGGGACUGCCACUGCAAGUCCUCCCUCUCAGUAGACAGGAAGGCAAAGCAGGCAGUGCCCCAACCCAAGGUUCAGAAAUAUCUCCCAUUCUGCAGGGACAUGGAGGCACCCCCAGGUCCCACAUUUUGUAUUUCACAUGUGCCAGAGCUCCUGAGGCCCAAAGCCAAGCAGCAGGAAACUCCAAGCCCAGGGGUCUUGGGGAAGCUGAGACACACAAACCUGUGUUCCUACAUCAGAAACGAGGUUACAGAACAAAAGAAAACUAUUAAGUAUCCCAGGUCAAGCAGCAAUCUUCACUGACAAGAGAUGGACACAUUGGGGAUUGCUUAUCUCUGAGAGGAAAUGUAUUGGCAGGAUACAAGGGAACAUCCACUGGACAUACAAAGCUGCAAAGGCAAAUCGGCUGCACCUGCUCAUGAGGUAUUUCAGACGAGGCAGCAAAACAAAGGGAUUUUUCUUUUUAAGCAAAAUUUCUAAUUAGACCCUGAUGGCUCACUGCUGUGGGAUGUUUGAAGAAAAAACAAAAGCAUCCUAAAUCGGUCUGGAGAAGGGUCCAAUGUUUACAUGAGUGACAUGGCAUGCAACCAUUGGUAAGGGUACAGCCUCUUCCUUCACAAACCCGUGUGAAUCUGUAAUGGAAUAGUAAGACAUUUUCUGGAUGCUCUUCUCAAACACUCGAUACUGCACUACUGCAAGCAACAUAGUGGAACAAGCUGGUCACAGCUUGAUAUUCAAUAUGACAAUCUCCUUCUUCAAGAAAUGGGGAGAUUGGAUGUUUCCAGUAGAAGGUAUAGAAAUAGCCCUAAAACUUAACCCCUCCUAAAACAUUUUACACCACUGGUUUCUCAAGUCUGAAUUGCAAAACACUGCUGGCCAUCUGUCAGCAAGAACUGUCUGACUGUCUGCCACUGGCAUCCAUGGAGAAGUGCCAUAUUGCAGCCUUGCUCUCCCAUUCUCAGCACUUAGAGGUGCUGCUUGAGGGCAGCUGCACUGGGGAGCCCUUCCAGCCCCUUCAGUGUGGGGACACCUCUGCUUGCCUCCAUGUUAACUAACUGCUUCCCAGGGGCAAUAUUCCAAGCUGCACAAACCCCGCAACAACUAACCACAGAACUAACUAGCUGACAGCAAAUGCAGAUCUUGAACAGUAAGAAUCCCAGAUUAACAGGAAAAAAAGAGCACUUUAAUUGUGGGUUGCAAAGAGGUAGAUCGUCUCACCCUCAAGUUGCUGGAGAAAAGUCAGAGGUAGAAAAAAUGGGUUCUAAACCCAAAAAUUAGGCCUGCCUGCAGUAGUAACUGAGGUGGACAAGUCUAAACUGCUUCUGGAGGAGGAUGUUUCUGACAAGCUCUGGAUAUGCCCGCCAAAAGCUGAGCCAUGUGUAGGGCAAUGGCAUACAGUGCUACAGCUUGUACAGGCAAACAAAGUGCCCAGACACUGGCAGUGCUGCCAGUCUGGGUUUGCCCCUUGAAUACAGAGAUUUAGAAAAAAACAUCACACCAAGUAAUGAUGAUCAGAGGCUGGAGCACCUCUCCUCUGAAGACAGGCUGAGAGAGUGGGGGCUCUUCAGCCUGGAGAAGAGAAGGCUCCAGGGAGACCUUAUAGCAGCCUUCCAGGACCUAAAGGGGGCUGCAAGAGAGCUGGAGAGGGACUUUUCACAAGGAUACAUAGUGACAAGACAAGGGGGAAUGGCUUUAAACUAAAGAAGGAUGGGUUUAGAAUGGAUAAUAGGAAGAAAUUUUUUACUGUGAAGGUGGUGAGGCACUGGAACAGGUUGCCCAGAGGAGCUGUGGAUGCCCCGUCCCUGGCAGUGUUCCUGGACAGGUUGGGUGGGGCUUUUCAAAUCCAGGCUGGAUAAGGCCUUGAGCAACCUGGUCUAGCGGGAGGGUCCCUGCCCAUGGCAGGAGGAGUUGGCACUAGAUGAUCUUUAAGGUUCCUUCUAACUCCUUAAAAUUCUAUGAUUCUAAUUAACAGUGUGUCUGCCUAUCCAGAACACAUACCUAAAAGUUGCAUGGAUAAGUGAAAUGUUUAUAAAAUCUGGAUUUAUUAUUUUUUUUAUUUACAACAUAAGUUAUUCUCAAAUAACAGAAGGAUUUGACAGUGUUCAGUUUGUUAUAUAUUAGAUUCAAAAUGACAUAUUUUUUAAAAAAAGCUCAGUAUACAAGGAAAAUCCCAACAGAAUUUGCAAAGCUACUGUAUUUCACAAAUAUAGGAGCUAAGGUUGUAAUGAAUCAUAUAGGAAAUUUGUCAUUACAAGUAAAAGAAAAUCUGUACAAAUGGUUUAGGGUUUUAAUCACAAAUCUAAAUAUUUUUUCUUUAAAUAGACUCUUAAAAUAGAUGCAUUAUUUUAAAAAAAACAUCACUACAAAGAGGCACAUGGUGUUUAGUUGAUGGCAUUAAUUCUGCAACCCAAACAAGGAGACUAAUCCACUUUGAGUAGCUAAAUUAUUUUUUUGCACUAUUUACAUACUUUACUGAAGUAUUUUCCUCCCAGAGUCUGAGCAAGCAUCUUAGAAUAUUAAUGAGGGAAGCCUGGCAGCACUCCAGAGUUAGCAAAUAAGAAAGUAAUAUCAUUCCUAUUUUAUCAACAGGGAAACUGAGGCACCAGGCGUAUUGAGAUCCAGGCAACUGCAGGAAUUAAAAUCAUGAAUCUUGAUCCUGUUUGCCAGGUCUUGAUGGAGAGACUGUUCUUCCUCCUUGUUAGAGGGUUAGUGACCGUGCUGAGCAUUGUUUGAAACCUGGUCAGUUGUUCCUUUUCAUGUUUAGACUGCUGAAAAAUAGGUAAUAGCUAUCCAGCUGUAGUGUCAUCAUGAACAUCUUUACUCAAAAAAAAGUCACUAACAGUUUUCCUUUUCAGAUCAGAAACCAGCCACAGCAAAAUGUGCUUCAAUCCAUCCACCCAUCCAUCAAAAAGAUCUUCAGUCCCUCUAAAGCCUUUGGAAGGCUGUCUUGUUCUACCCAAACAACUGCAAUUGUUCCCUCAAUCUGUGCAAAAACAAAUACUGAAAACCAGUAACUCUGAAAGACAGAACUGCAUUAUUUAU